UCCAUGGGAUUUUCCAGACAAGAGUACUGGAGUGGGUUGCCAUUGCCUUCUCCGAAAGUCUUCAUAAAAAGUGAGACAAAGAAAGGAGUGUUCUUUGGAAGCCUCAUGAAUGCUCACUCAAAGGCACACUGCUGCGCAGCUAUUUUGUAAAUGCAGAUAAAUGGGGACUGAUUAUGUUCCAGGGUAGCUGGAGGCUGCCUGGACUCCUGACCAGCCUACUCCAACCUGGGGAGAGUGAUUAACCUGCCAUAUGCCACAGCCUGGAAAAAAAUGGCAGAGGAUUUGGCAAUGGACCAAGUCAUAAGAAGAUGCACCUGCAGAUUGCUUUGCACCUUUCCUGAGGAUUCCUGUAUCACUGAAGAAGUACAUCCCUUGUUGGGUUCCUGAUACUUGCUGAGUAUGUGUCUUCCCAGUUUCUUGAUAAUAGCUCCACCCUUCUAAAACACCCAGUAUUUUUCCAAAGCAAAAUUUAGGGGAAAAAUGAUCAAACUAAAUAAUAGCAAAUACCAUCAUUGGAUGGUCAAUGAUUUUCAGUGAUGAUUUCCCACUGAAGUAAAUCUUCUUAGUUCUCUCCUGCAUUGAUUUUAAUAUAUAAUAUCUAAGCUUUUAGUAAAGAAACAUACAGAAAGGCUUGAGGCAAUAAAAUCAAUAAAGUUUAAAAAUAUACAGUAAUAAAUGGAAUGUUAAACAUUUGGUACUUAUACUCAAGCCAAACAGUUGAGAAGAACUAAGAAAUUAUGAGAAAUUUCACUUAAUAAUGAAAAUGACCUGGGAUUUUGGAAUAAACAUCAAAGAGCAUAUCUAGGAACAUCUCUUCUGCAAAUUUAAUUGAUAAUAAAUAUUAUAAUUGCUUUAGGAGGUAAUUUAGAGGAUAUUGUUAAUUUGCUAAAUUACCUGAUUGUUUGUUUGUGGAUAUUAGUUUUCAAACUGGUUAAAUACCAGACUUCCUGAAUAUAAUCAUAGGUGGUUGAAUAUGACUUUCUUGUGUUAGAUUUGCCAAGGAUAUUGUCUUGUCAUUUACUCAGAAGUAAAUGACUCAAAAUAGAGGCUCACAUGAUUCUCUUUAGAUACAAGUCAAGUUUCAAAGGUUGUUACAACAUUCAAAUUAACUGAAUUUCAGAAAUGUUAAAGCUUUGCCUAAGGAAAGAAAAUUCAAAGGUUUUUUAAAACCAUACAAGGCUCAGAAUGUCUGGGUAUAAAGAAUAGUUCCUGCUCUUUAGUUAGAAAGUAGCCUUGAUAUCUUGAGGGAGAAGUUCUUCUUGAGAAGAAAUCUCAUUAAACUUUCAGUGUGACCUAUUUUAAACUUGACUGGAAAAUACAUAAUUGUUCCAUUUGAAACCAGGAAGUAGAGCAAGUCAACAUCUUUUGUAGCCAAGUCAAUAUAAAAAGUGCCUGUUUAUAGGUAGAUGCCAUAAUGGUCCAUAGGAAAAUUUACAGUUUGCAAUUUAUGGCAUCUGAAAGGAAAAGCAUUUGUAUGUGAGAUUGAUUAAAUAAGUCUCAUUACUUUAUAGUCACACUCUUCCUGUGUUUGUGUGUCUACACAUUCCACUGAAUUAUUUUUUACCAAAUCAUCUUACAAAUUUCAAAAAUCUGUGUUUUGUCCUUAUUCUGUCAAUUUUCAGGGAAAUUUUCAGUUGUUUUAUUUAUAUUGCCCUCUGGAGAUGGCUCUCAGCAGUUUAUCCUCCCCACAUUUAUUGUUUAUAUUUCGCCCUUGUUUCUUAUUGAUUUAAACUCUGUGCAAUUGUUUUCAUGUAUGCUUCUAUAUUAAGACAUGUGAUCCAUCUUUCAAAACCAUUUUACAAACACCAGUGUGUUGCAUUCCUGAGUUCUGAUGGUAUUUCCUCAACACAGAGACACUAACCAGCUGUUUAAAUGAACUGAAAUUAUGGCAAACAUUUCUUGUUUGAUGAAAAUUUGAUGAAAUCAUUUUAUAUUCGUUUUACUGUGUGUACUUAGAAGCUCUAGUAAAGAGUAUAGUAGAAAAUGCAACAUAGGUUCUCUAUUAAUUUUAAUUGCAAUUGGUUGAGUUUUUACAAAUAGUUUUCAAACUUUUGCUCCUUUCAAUGCACCGCAUGUCUCAAUAAGCUUACAAAACAAGGAUCAUUGGCAACUCAUUAGCUUUUAAACAUGUAGCCUUUAAUUUUCUAUAGUGUAAAACUAUAGGAAUUCAACUUACACUGUGUCCUCACAAUGUCCU